GUGCUCAUUUCAGCAGGAUAUAAACUAAAAUUGGAACAAUACAGAGACAAUUAGCAUGGCUCCUGUGCAAGGAUGACAUGAAAUUUAUGAAAGCAUUCCAUAUUUUU
ensembl:snRNA U6 U6 spliceosomal RNA